rnacentral:rRNA from 1 species
AUACGGAGGGUGCAAGCGUUAAUCGGAAUUACUGGGCGUAAAGCGUGCGUAGGUGGCUUGUUAAGUCAGAUGUGAAAGCCCCGGGCUCAACCUGGGAACUGCAUUUGAAACUGGCAUACUAGAGUAUAGGAGAGGAAAGUGGAAUUUCAGGUGUAGCGGUGAAAUGCGUAGAUAUCUGAAGGAACAUCAAUGGCGAAGGCAGCUUUCUGGACUAAUACUGACACUGAGGUACGAAAGCGUGGGUAGCAAACAGGAUUAGAAACCCCGGUAGUCC